rnacentral:rRNA from 1 species
CUUAACACAUGCAAGUCGAGGGGCAGCAUUUUAGUUUGCUUGCAAACUGAAGAUGGCGACCGGCGCACGGGUGAGUAACACGUAUCCAACCUGCCGAUAACUCCGGAAUAGCCUUUCGAAAGAAAGAUUAAUACCGGAUAGCAUACGAAUAUCGCAUGAUAUUUUUAUUAAAGAAUUUCGGUUAUCGAUGGGGAUGCGUUCCAUUAGUUUGUUGGCGGGGUAACGGCCCACCAAGACAACGAUGGAUAGGGGUUCUGAGAGGAAGGUCCCCCACAUUGGAACUGAGACACGGUCCAAACUCCUACGGGAGGCAGCAGUGAGGAAUAUUGGUCAAUGGGCGAGAGCCUGAACCAGCCAAGUAGCGUGAAGGAUGAAGGCUCUAUGGGUCGUAAACUUCUUUUAUAUGGGAAUAAAGUUUUCCACGUGUGGAAUUUUGUAUGUACCAUAUGAAUAAGGAUCGGCUAACUCCGUGCCAGCAGCCGCGGUAAUACGGAGGAUCCGAGCGUUAUCCGGAUUUAUUGGGUUUAAAGGGAGCGUAGGUGGAUUGUUAAGUCAGUUGUGAAAGUUUGCGGCUCAACCGUAAAAUUGCAGUUGAAACUGGCAGUCUUGAGUACAGUAGAGGUGGGCGGAAUUCGUGGUGUAGCGGUGAAAUGCUUAGAUAUCACGAAGAACUCCGAUUGCGAAGGCAGCUCACUAGACUGUCACUGACACUGAUGCUCGAAAGUGUGGGUAUCAAACAGGAUUAGAUACCCUGGUAGUCCACACAGUAAACGAUGAAUACUCGCUGUUUGCGAUAUACAGUAAGCGGCCAAGCGAAAGCAUUAAGUAUUCCACCUGGGGAGUACGCCGGCAACGGUGAAACUCAAAGGAAUUGACGGGGGCCCGCACAAGCGGAGGAACAUGUGGUUUAAUUCGAUGAUACGCGAGGAACCUUACCCGGGCUUAAAUUGCAACAGAAUAUAUUGGAAACAGUAUAGCCGUAAGGCUGUUGUGAAGGUGCUGCAUGGUUGUCGUCAGCUCGUGCCGUGAGGUGUCGGCUUAAGUGCCAUAACGAGCGCAACCCUUAUCUUUAGUUACUAACAGGUGAUGCUGAGGACUCUAGAGAGACUGCCGUCGUAAGAUGUGAGGAAGGUGGGGAUGACGUCAAAUCAGCACGGCCCUUACGUCCGGGGCUACACACGUGUUACAAUGGGGGGUACAGAAGGCGGCUACCUGGUGACAGGAUGCUAAUCCCAAAAACCUCUCUCAGUUCGGAUCGAAGUCUGCAACCCGACUUCGUGAAGCUGGAUUCGCUAGUAAUCGCGCAUCAGCCAUGGCGCGGUGAAUACGUUCCCGGGCCUUGUACACACCGCCCGUCAAGCCAUGAAAGCCGGGGGUACCUGAAGUACGUAACCGCAAGGAGCGUCCUAGGGUAAAACUGGUAAUUGGGGCUAAGUC